CAGCCGCCGCGGUAAUACCGGCGGCCCGAGUGGCGGUCACUAUUAUUGGGCUUAAAGCGUCCGUAGCCGGGUUGGGAAGGCCUCCGGGAAAUCUGGCCGCUUAACGGUCAGAAUGCCGGAGGAUACUCCCAGCCUAGGGAGCGGGGGAGGCCGAGGGUAUUCCCGGGGUAGGGGUGAAAUCCUAUAAUCCCGGGAGGACCACCUGUGGCGAAGGCGCUCGGCUGGAACGCGUCCGACGGUGAGGGACGAAGGCCAGGGGAGCAAACCGGAUUAGAUACCCGGGUAGUCCUGGCUGUAAACGAUGCGGACUUUGUGUCGGACAAGCUAUGAGCUUGUCCGGUGCCGGAGGGAAACCGUUAAGUCCGCCGCCUGGGGAGUACGGCCGCAAGGCUGAAACUUAAAGGAAUUGGCGGG
rnacentral:rRNA from 1 species